rnacentral:snoRNA from 1 species
AUGAUUAUACUCUUUAGGAUCAUUUUUAUAGUGACCUAACCGAGUCCACACAUUCACAUGUGCCACACCUUUAACUUCAUUCGAUGAGACUGUUCACGCCGCCCUUACACCGAGACCUUUGGCUGCAAUUUGCAGUUCGAUGACGUGCGCUGGUGAGCGGAGCCAGCCGCUUGCGACUCGGUUUUGCGAGCCAGCGGGGCGGGUGUGACAUUUCUGAUGAAGU